CGCACUGGCCCAACUGAUAUGACGUGCUUGCACUGAUUUGACGAUGGAUUACCAGUGAGCGGCGGACGGGUGAGUAACACGUGGGCAACCUGCCCUAAAGCGGGGGAUAACAUUUGGAAACAGGUGCUAAUACCGCAUAACUACGAAAACCACAUGGUUUUCGUAUAAAAGAUGGUUUCGGCUAUCACUUUAGGAUGGGCCCGCGGUGCAUUAGCUAGUUGGUAGGGUAACGGCUUACCAAGGCAAUGAUGCAUAGCCGAGUUGAGAGACUGAUCGGCCACAAUGGAACUGAGACACGGUCCAUACUCCUACGGGAGGCAGCAGUAGGGAAUCUUCCACAAUGGGCGCAAGCCUGAUGGAGCAACACCGCGUGAGUGAAGAAGGGUUUCGGCUCGUAAAACUCUGUUGUUGAAGAAGAACGUGCGUGAGAGUAACUGUUCAUGCAGUGACGGUAUUCAACCAGAAAGUCACGGCUAACUACGUGCCAGCAGCCGCGGUAAUACGUAGGUGGCAAGCGUUAUCCGGAUUUAUUGGGCGUAAAGCGAGCGCAGGCGGUUGCUUAGGUCUGAUGUGAAAGCCUUCGGCUUAACCGAAGAAGUGCAUCGGAAACCGGGCGACUUGAGUGCAGAAGAGGACA
rnacentral:rRNA from 2 species